UACGUAGGGGGCAAGCGUUGUCCGGAUUUAUUGGGCGUAAAGAGCGUGUAGGCGGCCUGAAAGGUCAGCUGUGAAAACUCGAGGCUCAACCUUCAGAGGUCGUACGAAACCAUCUGGCUAGAGUCCGGGAGAGGAGAGUGGAAUUCCGUGGUGUAGCGGUGAAAUGCGCAGAUAUCGAGGAAGAACCAGCCGUAGGCGAAGCGCGUCGUCUGGAACGGUACUGACGCU
rnacentral:rRNA from 1 species